rnacentral:rRNA from 1 species
UUUUAUGGAGAGUUUGAUCCUGGCUCAGGAUGAACGCUGGCGGCGUGCCUAAUACAUGCAAGUCGAGCGAACGGACGAGAAGCUUGCUUCUCUGAUGUUAGCGGCGGACGGGUGAGUAACACGUGGAUAACCUACCUAUAAGACUGGGAUAACUUCGGGAAACCGGAGCUAAUACCGGAUAAUAUUUUG